rnacentral:rRNA from 1 species
UACAGAGGUCCCAAGCGUUGUUCGGAUUCACUGGGCGUAAAGGGUGCGUAGGCGGUCGGGUAAGUCUGACGUGAAAUCUUCAAGCUCAACUUGGAAACUGCGUCCGAUACUAUUCGGCUAGAGGAAUGGAGGGGAGACUGGAAUACUUGGUGUAGCAGUGAAAUGCGUAGAGAUCAUGAGGAAGACCAGUGGCGAAGGCGGGUCUCUGGACAGUUCCUGACACCGAGACACGAAGGCCAGGGGAGCAAACGGG